CCUACGGGAGGCUGCAGUGAGGAAUAUUGGUCAAUGGACGAGAGUCUGAACCAGCCAAGUAGCGUGAAGGAUGACUGCCCUAUGGGUUGUAAACUUCUUUUAUAUAGGAAUAAAACGAUGCACGUGUGCCUUUUUGCAUGUACCUUAUGAAUAAGGAUCGGCUAACUCCGUGCCAGCAGCCGCGGUAAUACGGAGGAUCCGAGCGUUAUCCGGAUUUAUUGGGUGUAAAGGGAGCGUAGAUGGAUGGGCAAGUCUGGAGGGAAAGUCUGCGGCUCAACCCUGAAAUUGCAGUGGAAACUGGGCGGCUAGAGUACUGUAGGGGUGGGCGGAAUUCGUAGUGUAGCGGUGAAAUGCGUAGAUAUUAGGAAGAACUCCAGUGGCGAAGGCAGUCUACUGGACAGCAACUGACAUUGAGGCUCGAAAGUGUGGGGAUCAAACAGGAUUAGAUACCCUAGUAGUC
rnacentral:rRNA from 1 species